GUUUGAUCCUGGCUCAGAACGAACGCUGGCGGCAUGCCUAACACAUGCAAGUCGAACGAAGGCUUCGGCCUUAGUGGCGCACGGGUGCGUAACGCGUGGGAACCUGCCCCUCGGUUCGGAAUAACAGUUAGAAAUGACUGCUAAUACCGGAUGAUGACUUCGGUCCAAAGAUUUAUCGCCGAGGGAUGGGCCCGCGUAGGAUUAGCUAGUUGGUGGGGUAAAGGCCUACCAAGGCGACGAUCCUUAGCUGGUCUGAGAGGAUGAUCAGCCACACUGGGACUGAGACACGGCCCAGACUCCUACGGGAGGCAGCAGUGGGGAAUAUUGGACAAUGGGCGAAAGCCUGAUCCAGCAAUGCCGCGUGAGUGAUGAAGGCCUUAGGGUUGUAAAGCUCUUUUACCAGGGAUGAUAAUGACAGUACCUGGAGAAUAAGCUCCGGCUAACUCCGUG
rnacentral:rRNA from 1 species